CAGCUAUCAAGAGCAGGCGAGUGAUACAGCACUUUGACCCUGCACCAACCGGCGGUAAAUUUAACAAUUUGCAGUGUACGGUGGUAAUUCUGUACAGAUAGUCG
rnacentral:ncRNA from 2 species